AGAAUCAACGCUGGCGGCGUGCCUAACACAUGCAAGUCGCACGAGAAAGGGACUUCGGUCCUGAGUACAGUGGCGCACGGGUGAGUAACACGUGAAUAAUCUACCUCCGAGUGGGGAAUAACUGAGAGAAAUCUUAGCUAAUACCGCAUAACACUUACGAGUCAAAGCAGCAAUGCGCUUGGAGAGGAGUUCGCGGCAGAUUAGUUAGUUGGCGGGGUAAUGGCCCACCAAGACGAUGAUCUGUAUCCGGCCUGAGAGGGCGCACGGACACACUGGAACUGAAACACGGUCCAGACUCCUACGGGAGGCAGCAGUGGGGAAUUUUGCGCAAUGGGGGAAACCCUGACGCAGCAACGCCGCGUGGAGGAUGAAAUCCCUUGGGAUGUAAACUCCUUUCGAUAGGGAAGAUAAUGACGGUACCUAUAGAAGAAGCCCGGCUAACUUCGUGCCAGCAGCCGC
rnacentral:rRNA from 1 species